GAUGAACGCUGGCGGCGUGCCUAAUACAUGCAAGUCGAGCGAACGGACGAGAAGCUUGCUUCUCUGAUGUUAGCGGCGGACGGGUGAGUAACACGUGGAUAACCUACCUAUAAGACUGGGAUAACUUCGGGAAACCGGAGCUAAUACCGGAUGAUAUUUUGAACCGCAUGGUUCAAAAGUGAAAGACGGUCUUGCUGUCACUUAUAGAUGGAUCCGCGCUGCAUUAGCUAGUUGGUAAGGUAACGGCUUACCAAGGCAACGAUGCAUAGCCGACCUGAGAGAGUGAUCGGCCACACUGGAACUGAGACACGGUCCAGACUCCUACGCGAGGCAGCAGUAGGGAAUCUUCCGCAAUGGGCGAAAGCCUAACGGAGCAGCGCCGCGUGAGUGAUGGAAGUCUUCGGAUCGUAAAACUCUGUUAUUAGGGAAGAACAUAUGUGUAAGUAACUGUGCACAUCUUGACGGUACCUAAUCAGAAAGCCACGGCUAACUACGUG
rnacentral:rRNA from 1 species